rnacentral:rRNA from 1 species
UACAGAGGUCUCAAGCGUUGUUCGGAUUCAUUGGGCGUAAAGGGUGCGUAGGUGGCAUGGUAAGUCGGAUGUGAAAUCCCGGGGCUCAACCCCGGAACUGCAUUCGAUACUGCCCGACUAGAGGUAGGUAGGGGAGAUCGGAAUUCCUGGUGUAGCGGUGAAAUGCGCAGAUAUCAGGAGGAACACCGGUGGCGAAGGCGGGUCUCUGGGCCGAUACUGACGCUGAGGAGCGAAAGCGUGGGGAGCGAACAGG